rnacentral:lncRNA from 1 species
GAGCUUUUGAGGUGGGUCCUGAGACACUGCGUUUUGAACAAGAUCCCCUAUAGAAGCUAGCACAUCAAUAUGUGUGAGAUCCACUGGCCCAGUGUACACCAACUGCAGGUGAGUUUCAAAUAGGAUGUAAAUUAACAAGAUACUCAACUGUAAAUUAUAUUCCAAUUUGAUAUAUUAAAAUAUCAAAGAAUAAAUAUCCCUCCCCCUUUCCCUUAGCCCUAUCCAGAGCUAUUCUCAGCUGGAUCUCAAAAAAAAAAAAAAAAAAAAAAAAAAAAAAACAACCUCAAAUUGAUCCCCCAUAGCUGAGAGAGUGAUAAAAUAUAGCCCUGGCAGGUAUAGAAGCCAGUGUGCUCUAAAUCUUCACAAAUUCCUCUUGCAAGUACAAAGGUAUAACUUAUCAAAAAAUGCCUUGAAAAUCAACAUCAACCCCAUGAGCUCUAAAAAGAGCCCGUGUUCCUCAAGGCCAAGAGCAGUGGUGGAAUUGGCAAAGUAAGUCACAGUUCUAGCAUCCUCUUAGCAUUAUCUCCUGCUCCACAGAGCAGGCAUGAAAUGAAAGCCUUUCCUUGAGGAAAAUAUUAUCUCAUCAGUUCCAAGCCAAAAGCUACAGCUAAAAUACCUCAUUCCUUCUGCUCAGUUUCACAUGUGUUUUAACACCUGCAUGAUGCGAUUCUCUUUCACUCCCAGGGUCCAUGUUAACCAGUGAUGUGUUUUUGAUUUUUGUUUUGCAGUAAGUUAGGAGUAAAGAUCAAUGUAUCCUAUGAAUUUGUUUUCAACCUCCAAAAUCAGGAAUGAAGUUUUAUUUUUCUUGCUUCGGUUUUGAGCAGGGUACCAAAAAAAAAUCCUUCUUUCUCACUGAUUUUUCCUAUCAUGCUGAUUUGUACAAAAAUGGCAAGGGAUUCAGAAUGGGGCUAGUACAAUCACCUGGAUCAUAUUGUUCUUGCAUUCUUCAUGUACCAUAUAUAUUCCAUGUGCUUUGAUGAAGAAGUUUUGUAUUAGGGCAUGUUAGUUGUACAGGACAGUGGGCUUCAUUGAGGCAUGUGCAUAUAUACCUAUAAUGUAUCUUGAUAAUUGGCAAGCCCCAUUGACCCUCCUCACCCUUCCCUCACCCCUCCUUGAGCACAUGUUUUUACCUACAAAGCACAGGCCAACAGACAUAUACUCUCAUAUGCUUUAGUCUAUGCAUAAACUGAAUAGAUCAUUGUAGGGAAGCAAUCUCCAUAGCUGGACUUACUGACACUUGGUUCUGCAAAAUACAAGUUUAAACACUAAUUGCAUUUAGUAUUAGCCUGAUUCUCACUACUUUAUUAUUUUCCCAGGAAGAGGGUCAAAAUGCAGAAACUUGUUUUUGAUUUUGUUUUGUUUGUAAUAGAUGGGUCUAUAACAUGGCAGAAACUCCAAAAUGGAAACAGGUAACCCCCUUCUCCUUAGGCAUGUGGUAUAUCCUAAACCCUGUACAAUGUGCUUGAUGAAGCAAGGCAAAAGAAGCACGUGAACUUAGAAAAGGAAUAUGUUUCUCAAGAUCACGAAGCUAGUAAGCAAAGGAGUUGGAUCUCCUAUUCAUGGUUCAUUGGCUUACUGAUACCCCCAGUGCCCACAACUCACUGUAUGCAUCACAGUCCUUCACCCUGGGAUGCAGUAGUAGAUUGAAUAGGCACAGUCAGUGCCUUAUAAAACUUUCAUUCUAAGGAAGUGAUACACACACACAUAGAGAAAUACAUAAGUAUGGACUAUAAGUGCCAUGGAGAACAAUAAAACAAGAUAAGGACUAGAAAUUAAUAAGGUGACAUGUAAACUUAGAUAGGGGUCAGAGGAGGCAUUUAUAAGGACACAAUAUGGGAACAAAGGAGACUGAGUGAUGGGAAGAAAUGAACCACAAGAGAAUUUGAAAGACAUGUGAAUCUUAAUAUGACCACCAGUCCCUCCAUGAUUGCUUCCUUGUCCUCCCUUAUAAUCUCAUGUUUCCUAUUAUACCCUGUAUGCUAAGCAUUCCUGUGUUUUACAUUGUCACCUAGUGGGCUAUUUACCAUCUUAAUUAACAAUUUUCACCCAACUCAUCCCUUCUUUCUGCUUUUAGGAUUCCCUCUACAAAGGCUCUGUCUGGCUGUUUUCUACUCCCCAGUCACUGAGCUUGUGUCCUGCUAGCACAAUCGUCUCAGGGUACCAUUUUUCUGUUCUCUGUAUUUCAUGUUAAAUGUAAGACCUAUGGAAGAAUAUAUAGCCAGAAAGAGUUGAAAAUAGAAACUCAGUUAAAUGCAUCCAUACCAAGGAUCAAAAUAGGAUUUUGCAAAAUAGCCCAAAGAUGAGUGGGUAAACAAAUGCACUACCUACAUACAAAUGCAAUAUUAUUUAAUCAUGAAAAGAAAUGAAAUUCUAAUACAUGCUACAGCACAGAAAAAUCUUGAAAACAUUAUAAUUGAAGUAAACCAGUUCAGAAAGAACAAAGAUCAUGUGGAUAUCACUUAUAUGAAGUAAAUUCAGAGAGACAGAAAAUACCAUAGAGCUUCCUGGGGAGAAGAAAGAGAAAUUUUUGUUAAAUGAGUACGGAGUUUACACUUGGUAGGGUGAAAACUUUCUGGAAGUAGGUUGUAGUGAUGGCUAUGCAACAUUGUGAAAGUACUUAAUUCCCCUGAGAUGUACACUUAAAAUAGCUAAAGUGGUAAAUUUUAUUACAUAUAUUUCAGCACAGUAGAAAAGGAACCAUGCAUGAGAACCACAGUACCACGCACACACACACAAAUUGCCCGUGCAACCUUCCAACACAGAGGUGCAGGCAAUUGCUUCCUCGGUAGUACUCCUAAAACUGAGGAAACAAGGCCAAGAAUUAAUAAUGGGAUGGCGUCAAAUUUAAAAGCUUCUUCAUGAUAAAAAAAGAACAAACAAACAAGGGCAUGAAGUGAGAUUUUACAGAACGAGAGAAAUUUUUAUCAGCUACUCUUCAGAGGAUUAAAAUCCAAAAAAAUUUAAAGAACUCAAAAAAAAGAAAAGAAAAACUUAGCAUCUAAAGUAUAAAUAACCCAAUUUGUAAAUGGGUAAAUGAAAUAAAUACAAAUUUUCAAAGGAAAAAUGUUAAAUGGCCAACAAAUAUAUAAAAAAUGUUGAGCAUCUUUAGCAAUUACAGAAGUGCAAAUCAAAACCUCACUAAUAUUUCUUCUCAUGCCAGUUAGAAUAUCAACCAUCAAGAAUACAAGCAUUAAUAAAUACUGAUGAGGAUGUGGGGGAAAAGGAAUAUUGAUACCCUGUUGGGAGGAUUAUAAAUUAGUACAACUCUAUGGAAAUCAGUAUGGUGGUUCCUCAAAAGACAGGGAAUGACCCUGCUGUAGGAUUCAACUAUAGUACUCCUUGGUGUUCUUCCAAAAGAACUGAAGUCAUCCUACAGUAAUACAUACAUUCUCAGGUUUAUAGCAGCACAAUUCACGAUGGCCAAGUUAUGAAACCAGCCUAGGUGUCCAUCAACAGAUGAAUGGAUAAACAAGAUGUGAUAUGUAUUCAAAACUGAAUUUUAUUCAGCCAUAAGGAAGAACAACAUUAUGUCAUAUGUAGAAAAAUGGAUAGAACUGGAGAGCAUGGACUCAGAAAGUCAAGGAUAGUAUGUUCUCUCUUAUAUGAGGAAGCUAGAGAGAAAGGAAAAAAAAGGGGGCAAGGGGUUUUCAUGAAAAUAGAAAGAAGACCAGCAGAGUAAAGGAAGGGGAUUGGGGCAGGGAGGAGGGAAAGAAAAGGGGAGGUACAGGGAGUGAAAUGGAUCAAAUUAUAUGGAUGUAUAAACACGUCAUAGUGAAUCCCACUAUUAUGCACAAUUAUAAUGCACCAAUGAAAAUGUUUUAAAAAGAACCCAUGAAUAAAGUUUCUUUUAGUUUUUUUUUCACCAUUAUGUGCCUAGCACUUUGUACAGUGCCGGGCACAGGAAGCAAGGACCUAGUGUACUUUUUCUUACUGAGUGAGCCCACACUCAGUCCAGCUCUGAGUCUAGAGCCAGCUGUGUAAGUGAUUUUCAAAGAGUGUUACACAUGGAUCUUGCAGACAAUUUCAAGUGGAGUUUGGGAUCUUCUUACCUGACAACACCACCACCCUUACUGUGUAUAUAGCACUGUAUCUCAUAGACAGAAAGUUUUUAUUUACUUUUUAAUUAGUAUUACUCUUUAAAAUUGCUACAGAGACUCUGUUGCUGUGUCUUCCACACUUUUCCAAAGCUUGUUAAUCUCUCUGUUUUGUUCCCUCCUUUUUCUCUCCUUUCUUUCCUUAAUUUUUUUUUGUUGUUGUUUGUUUCUUUGUUUUUGUAACAUUAAAACAAAGCCUCAGGCUCAUGCUCAGAUUUUCCCAUCCUCCAAAGGUAAAAACACUUGGAUUGCAAUCUUGCAAUCAUAUAAAUUGUAAUACUAUUUUGAAGGAUUUUUGUUUUUUUGUUUUGUUUUGUUUUGUGUAAAAGUGAUCCUGAUUCUUCAUGGGUGGCUCUAGUAAAACAUUUACAUGAAAUAUUUUACAUGAUUUGAUUUUUAAAAGUGUAAGCAAUAAUAAUACAGAUGGACAAUAGAUAUUGCAAAGGACAGGAAGGCAUUACCAGAAUGAAAAGUGAAUUAAAGCUGCCCUAACUCUAGGACCUCCCCAUAUUCCCAGGCUUGAGUCUACCUUUCUUUGUGUCUGUAGCAGUGCCCUUAAGAUCUAUCUCAGCACCUGCCCACCUUGCUUUCUGGCCCAGACUCUCUGCAGUCCCCUUGAGGUACAUCUCACACUGGGCACUUACAUAGCUUUGACAUACCUGGCUGAUAUUGGGAGAAAAGAACUGAGAGAGUCUGAGAGUGGCCCUCAACAUGGUAUCAUUGCUGUUUUUCUUUGUUCCAGUGAGAUCCCUGAAGAAAAAUAGUUAUUGCUGCUUUUCAUAUUCACUGUCUCCUACUUUUCUCCCCCAAACUGCUAAGUUUUCCACCAACUUACUUUAAUUUUCAGUGUCGAUUUCAAAUGAAUCCAAACAGUAUUUAAAAAAAUAUGAAGGACAAUUUGUAUCAUGGGGGAGUGUUGCCUUAAACUGUAGUGCAGUUAAUGAUUUUAUCUCAUCCACCUACCCCAAUACACAUGUGCAGAUGCACACAUGCACAGACAUGAACACACACACACACACACACACACAGGCACACAUAUUGUCCCUCUUAUAUUUUGGAAUUUAGCGCAAAUUAUAGUUUAUAUUUGUUUCUCUUUUUUUAAUGUGGCGCUAAGGAUUGAACCCAGUGCCUUACACAUGCUAGGCAAGUGCUCUGCUAUUGAGGUACAGCCCCAGCCCCUAAAUUACAGGUUAUAGAUACUAGACGAAAAUGAGUAGGCAGUUGGUUAGCUGAGUUCUCCAUUGGAAAGAAGAUUCAGACAUCCUCAUGGCAGUGUGAACCCAGAAACCACGUGGAGUGUGUAUGUGUGUAUGCGCAGGUACCAUAUUCCUACUAAAAACACGUUAACAUGUUUUUUCCUUCCUUAUUUUUCCAUGAACUCUUAGCUCCAGAGCAGCUCCCUAACUUCCUAACUGAAUUGCUAGGGAAUGAGAAGACUUUGGAAAGUGCAAACUUUAUUUCUACUUCCGUGUCAUAUUUGAUCUAAAGCCCUGUGAUAAAAUAAUUUUUAAAAGUAUAAAGUGCACAGAGGGCAGGAUGGAAUGUGUGCAGACAUGUAAAGAAGGGUCAGACAUACAACAAAACUCUUAAGCCUGACUUUUUUCCUCAAAAGCUCAUUACUAUUGAAAAAGAGAGGGAGAGAGAAUAAGUAAUGUGCAGGGCCACUCUGAAUUAAUCUCCAAGGAGAAAGCAUUCAAGCUUCACUGCAGACAGCUCCUUGCAUCAGGCUUUCCGCUUCACAGGAAUCAAAACCAUCAGCAAAGCUCUGGAGGGAGCAGGUACCUUCUUCUCUAGCAAAAGAGCUGUGAUGAGUGAUGAGAGAGUGGUCCAGGUUUCCAGGGUCUUUUCCUGCAACUUAUCAAUACACAUUAUUUUAUUGGCCAGCAUUCUCCUUGCUCUUUGUCUCUGACUCCACUUUAUUGAGUAGAGUAGAAAAAAAUACAUUUUUUUCUUGCUAUGCUAUUUCCCAAAUCUCGGCAUUACCACACUAUACCUGACUUCCAGUCCACUAAGACCAGCAUUCUCUUUCUGUCAGAAAUUAUAAAUGGAAUGACAUAUUUGUCACUCUUGCAAUGUUAGAACUCUGUCCCACUGUUGUCUGAUGUCUCUCAACCUUCAUGGUUCAGUGGCUCACUUAUGCAUGACUUAAAACAAUCUUCAAUCAGUUUGUAUUUUCAACCUGCUUCAUAUCUUACAUCAGUAUCCCUAAGGGUAAGAUGCCCUUCUUUUCUUACCAGUUGCCUUAGUCCUUUGGUUCUAAAUACCAUAUCCAAUGAGGAGGCAAAGAAGAGGACUUUAAACUCAGAGCCAAGCAUCUCAGAUCUCUGCUAAUUACUAGGCCCCCAACCUCUGAGUAAUAUUGAAGGAAUAUCCAAAAUCUUUGAAUCUAUUUUUUUUUUCAUUUGAUGAAAUGAAACAAUAAAUACUGACUUUCCAAUGUUGUUGCUAUUGUUCCCAGUUUAAAGGCAAAGAAUGGAAAUUGGUAUUAUUAGUUAAUACUCUUAGUUCACAUUCUAUCCAAAAUUGUUUUUUUGAAAAAUAAUCUAGCCAUAUUUAUAGAAUCUUUAUGAAAUGCAUGUAUCCACAUGGCAUGAUUGAAAAACUCUGUGACAUUAAAAAUAGAAAGUGAGAAUUUGUCCCCCAUUGCUGCUUAUCCUUAUCUAUUCCUUGAAAACUACUAUUUUAAUAAUUACUGGAUUUUGUUUUUACUAAUUUGUUAAGUAUAGCAUUUUAGUCUUUAUUUUAUAGAUCUUAGGCAAUAUUCUUAAAUUUUUAUAUCUUCUUUUAUUACUAAGACAUUUUUGUCUUUAUUUUCUCGAUUUUUCCUUUUUAUUUUCUCAGAAUAGUUCUAACUAUUUAUUCAUCCCAAACUUCUCCCAAAAGAGAAAAUGAGUAAAAGUAAAAGAAGAACCUUCCUCCAUUCUCCUCCUACAAUCCAGACUCUACUGGAUCAUUGUACCUGCCCAGAGAGAGUGCUGACCUGAGUACAAAGGUCACCCUGCACACUCCUGGAGGGGCCUCCAUAGAAACACUGGGUCCCUGUGUGGCAGCUGUUUAGAGGUUUACUUAUUUUUUCCAUCGCAAAAGAACAUCUGGAAAAUUGUUCUGAAUUCCCUUCCUAAUCAAUAUUUUGCCAGGAUCAAGGAACAUAGUUUGGUGUCCUUCUCUGUUUAAUAGUCUUUCAGCUGCAAUGGGAGUUGGUUUGACAAUAACAUAUCUUUCCCUUUUUUCCCAGCCUUUGCCUUCAGUUUUAAUAGCAGCCUGACUGGACUUGGAUUCUUGCAACUGUCAAGAUGAAUGAAAUGGAGUAUGAAUUCCAUUGCUUUGUUCUGCCGCAUCUCGGGCUUGUUUUCUAAACUAAUUAUCCACAGGGUGUAGCACUUUGUUUUGUUUCUCUGUGGCUGAGGAUGAAGCCUCACUAUAAAUCAAUGCCCUAUUCUUAUCUAGAAUUACAUAGUCAGAGAGCUCUGAAGAUGAUUGGAGAUGUUUGGAGGAAAGAUAGAUUUCUUACAAGGAAGAGUGAAAAGGACUUCUUAGCUUGUGCUUGAAAACAUUCAGGAGAAAUAGUGUAAGGAAUAUAAAUUAAGAACCCAUAUGUAGAAAGCUAAUAGCCUAUCUCUGUUUGCUGAAGAGUAAUAAAUAUUUUUAAUACAUUUAAUUUUGACUAAAGCAAAGCCUUUUGUUGGGUGAAGCAUUUACUCUACAAGAGUUACUCUCCAUAUGAUUAGUUACAAAACUUUUCUUCAUCAGAAUCAAUAAUAUGUAAGACUAGAAUAGAAAUUAAUGGGCACAUUAGCCCUUCCAAUGGGUCAUAAGUCUAAUAAGGCCUCAAACUAAAUCCUGCUCUGUUAUACAUUGAUGAUCUUCCAUAAGUUACCAAAUUGCUCUGAAUUUUAGUUUUCUUACCAUAAGUUAGUGAAACAAAUAUACCUCCAGGUAAUAGUUACCUUUUUGUUCUUCUUCUGUCUCCUUCCUCUAUCAGUUCUGAGCUAAGAAAUGAUGGGACCCCAUUUCCUGAGCCUUAGGUUUGGUUAAGUGACCCAGGAUAAGCCAACCAGAGAACUCUAAACCUCUGGCUGUGAUUAUUGAUACACAGAUGGAUAUGUGACCCAAGGAAGUUUCCCCAAUGCUCUUGCCUGGGCCUUCCCUGCAGAAUCAAGCAUAGGAGAAGCAGUACUUGAUUCACCUGCUUUUUGCCACUGUUUGCCCACCAUUCUUGUCACUGAGAGGAAACACUUCUAUGGAACAGGGCACAGGAGACCAAGGCACAAAGAGUCAGCAGGAGGAGAACAAGCAAGUAAUGGAUUCAAUAAUGACUAAUCUAUAAUUUCUCUAGAAUGUUUUUCCUGUUAGAAACCUUCAAUUAUUAUUACUGAUUUUAAUGUUAAUAUUUAUAUCUUCAACCCUUUUCAUUAUUACUUAAAUGCAUAACUUUAAUGUUAGUAUUUUAUUUUUUAUUUUGCUUUUUGUAACUUGAGUUGUUAGACUUUGUUUAUAUUUUAAGAGCUCUGAUUAAAGAUUACUCUACAGAGUUGUAGAGGGUGUUAAAUAAGGUAAUAAGUGGAAGGAAUUUAGCAGAAAAUACCACCCAAAUGAAGCACUUGUUUCACUAUUACUUCCAAUAUUAUUUUACUGAGGCUCAGAGAACUUAAGUAAUGUGCCCAAGAUUAAAUAGCUCCAAUAACACAGCAAACCAAGUUUUAAACUGAGAUCUUUUUGACUCUAAGGUUUAUGUUUGGGACACUGCAGUAAGAUGUUACAUUUAUUUUUGUGUCAUUUAGAAGCAUGUUGUGGAGCAUAUGGCUGUGUUUCCUUGUUUCUUUCCCCAUUAUCUUGUCAUAUUUCUUGACUGUUCUUAGGAAGUAUAGUGCUAGUGUGGCCUUGCUGGAGUGGAAUGGAUUUCCUGACCUCUGAAGAGUAGCCUGUUUUUCUUAGUUGAUAAAGAAAAAAAAAAAAAGCUAAGUCCAGAGAGAUCUCUGGUGAGUAGGUGAAACUCCAGAGGUUUACAUUAAAGGGUCUUCAUCGUGGUUCUUCAUCAUGUAAAAGCUGCCUCCAAUCCCAAGCCCUGAGUCUUUCACCACACCCUGGCAAAGGUUCAUCUCACACCAGCCUUUUUCAAUGCAAACUGCCAGCCCAGCCAAGCAGCCAUUUAAUGGACCUCAGGGCUGGCUUCCUAAGAGAGUUCUAUCAGGGACAGUUUACUGCAUGUAUGUUUUAGACAGUUUCAUGGCCUGCAAAGGUCCUUGAUAAAAGACAUACCCUCCUGCUUUUCAAUCCAGAAAGAAACAUUGAUUUUUGUUUUUUAUCCUCAACAGUAUUCCUUUCUCCCCAUACCUCCCCAUCCUCCCUGCUCAACUUUCUAUUGGAGAAAAAAGAAGUAGGGAUAUAGUCUGUUCCCUUAUGAAUGAAAGUCAGAUUUUAGUACCAAGACUGAAACACGUGUGCAAGAGACUCUGAAGUACAGGAGGAGUGUGCCUGUAAGUAAACAUGAGGAGUGUUGCAGUGUGUGUAUGUGUGUGUGUGUGUGUAGUGUGGUGUGCAUGUGCACGCACAUGCAUGCUCACAAACCUCAGGGUACUUAAUUCACAUGCUUCAAAGUCCAAAAGUGAAUAAUUCCCACUUGAUGCUCAUACCUGUCUAAUAUGGUGGACAGAGUUUAGAGUGGCUCCCUAAACCCUGCAUCCUCGGCCUCAGACCUUGUAUAAUCCCCUUUACUUGACUGAGGACAGUACAUUUUCUUUCUUCUAGAACAGAAGGUAGCCAAGGUGAUGUGACAUGGUAUCAGAGUCCUCUGCUGGCUGACUUGCUCUUGCUCUCCUGUUCCCUAGAAGCAAGCUUCUGUGCUGGGACUUUCCAGAGGGCUACCUGGGAAGGAACUUUGGGCUGCCUCUGGGAGUUGAGGACAGUCUUCAGUUGACAGCAAGAAAUCAAAGCUCUUGGUUCUAUAGUUCUGUAGCCACAAAGAAAUGACAACCUGAGGGACUUUGCAGGCAAGUUCUUUUCCCGUCAAGCCUCUGUAGGAGGCUCACCCGGCCAGUUCCUUGGCUGGAGUCUAGUGAGACCCUGAACCAGAGGACGUAGUUCAACAGGAUCUGAACUCUUUAUCCAUGGAAUCUGGGAUAUCUAAACCUGCGUUUAGCAAAUUUAGCCAAUAAAUUUGCAGUCAUUAUGCAGCAACACACAACUCAACAGAUAUCAAAUUAUGAAUGGAUUGUUUCAAUCUGCAUAAUUAGUAUAAAAGAAGGAGUUUGCUGUCAAAUCUUUCUGGUUCUCAAUGUUGACUACAGCUCUUAUUUUUAUGUGUAUUUUGGGGAAAUUUAUUUAAGGUCUGAGUUUAGCUUAAAAUUUUUAAGCUGUAAAAAGUAAACAAGCAAACAAAUAGUAAACAACAACAAAAAAUACAUAGCCUUAGUACUGAGCUCACAGGAUGGUUAUAACUUUAAGGGAGUUAAUUCACACAGUGAGCUCUCCAGAAAUGUUGCCUGGAUUUAACGUCCUGGAUAACCUCUGGCCCAGUUAACCUCUUUUUCCCAUAGUAUUUUAUUGAAUCACCUUUAUUUCACCUCAGGACUAGAUUGUGAGUUCAAAACGAAAAAAAAGAACCUUGUUUUCUUCAUCUUGAAAUCUCCAGCAAAAACAUCCAGUGCAGCUAGCAAGUAGACAUAAUCAAUAAUUGUCAGAUAUGCAGAUUCCUGGGUCCACACUAGAGGUUCUGAGCACAACAAUAUGGUAUUUGUUGGAACUUCACAAAGUGAUGAAUCAUGUUCGUGUUUACUCCUUUAACCCCAAGGAUAAUUGAUGUGCCAAGGAUUAAAAACUAAGAUGGAUAAAGAUUCUUUUUUUUUUAAUUAAAAGCAGAGAUUCUCGCAAAUAUACUUUACUAAAUUGCUGACAACUAGACAGUGCAUUGAUGGCUCCUGGACAUCAAUGUUGUCUGAUAAAUAGAAAAUUCUAGGCACUUACCUUAAAAACAUCUAGGUUGAAAGAUCUAGAAGAGGCCUAAGAUAUCAUGAGCCUCAAUCAGGGAAGCUUUACAAAUGUCCAUUUUGCCUGAAAUGUGAAUUGUGACGGGGUCACACUGGGAGGACUGAGAGAUCACAAUGUGACCCCCUAGUCUUCCUAUCCCGGCAUAUAUACCAGGCUUCAAUGAGACUUCACCACGUCCUUCAUUAAGAGUCUAUUUACUCCACUUUGAAACUGUGCUGGCUUAUGACUUGUACUGACCAGCAGACGUUGGCCAGAGUGGUAUGAGGAGACUUCCAAAGCUGAGUCACAGAUGGCUUUGGGCUUCUACCUUCACACUCUUGGGCACAGUGUAAUGACCAGCACACAAGCCAGGCCAGCCUUUCAGAGAGUGAGAGGCGACGUGGGAACUGAGACGACCAGAUAACAACCCACAGUAACUGUGAGACCCCUAGAUGGCCCAACACCCCUGCCCUGCUCAUGCAGCCUCAUGAACAAGACCAAGGAAAGCUUAUCCAAGAAUCGCACAAUCAUCCACCCCCAGGAUCAUGAAUAAGAACUGAUCACUACUGUGUGCAGGGCAGCUCUGGGUUGUUAUCAAGGCAGUGUAGCUGGCAUCUAGGACACAUGCAACAGGGCUGUGCUAUCCAAAGUGAAAACCUAGUCAUUUAUCCACGUUGCCAUUUUGUAGCCAAAGCAAUCUAGUUUCUAGUCCUGUAUCUAAUUACCAUAUUAUAUGGCAUACAAAUUUGUACUUGAAAAUAUUCAGGAGAAAUAUGCUAUACCUCCUUUUUAAAUUUAAUUACUGUACUUCUCUUCUCUUAAGUGACUUGGUAUCAUCUGCAUCAGAUUAAAUUUGAACACCUCAGAGAGCCCAUGUGGCUUUCACUUUGAGUUCUGGGCCCUUCCAUCUCUCCAGGGUAUCUUUUCUCAUUGUGUUCCACUGACCACAGCUCCAACCCCAACCCCAACAUACUCUUCACUUCUACUCCAGAUAUGCCUGCUGUUUCUGUUUUAUCUAGAGCACCCUCUAUAUCAUCUCCUUCCCUGCCCAGUGCCUACCCAUCCUCCAAAGCUCUGUAGGAUCGCCUCCUGCAGGAAGUCCUCUGUGUCUCCUUCAGCCUCAGGAUGCCUCUCCAAGCUCCCCUGUAUUACAUGUGACAUAAAGUAAUUCCUCACUAAAAUUGUGUAAAAUUCAUGAAUAUUUUAAAUGUAUCCUUGGUGUUCAGUAGAGUACUUUAUAUACUCCAGGUAACUAUAGAAGGAUUAUUUUUUCUUUUCUAAAAAUUAAGAUACAAUUUUUUUCUUUUUUUAUCUAUAUAUGACAAUGGAAUGCAUUACAAUUCUUAUUACAUAUAUAGAGCACAGUUUUUCAUAUCUCUGGUUGUAUACAUAGUAUAUUCACACCAAUUCAUGUCUUCAUACCUGUACCUUGGAUAAUGAUGAUCAUCACAUUCCACCAUCAUUAAUAACCCCAUGCCCCCUUCUUUCCCCUCCAACCCCUCUGCCCUGUCUAGAGUUUGUCUAUUCCUCCCAUGCUCCCUCUCCCUAUCCCACUAUGAAUCAGCCUUCUUAUAUCAAAGGAAACAUUCGGCAUUUGGUUUUCCAGGAUUGGCUAACUUCACUUAGCAUUAUCUUCUCUAACUCCAUCCAUUUACCUGCAAAUGCCAUGAUUUUAUUCUCUUUUAUUGCUGAGUAAUAUCCCAUUGUGUAUAUACGCCACAUUUUUUUUUAAUCCAUUCAUCUAUUGAAGGGCAUCUAGGUUGGUUCCAUAGUUUAGCUAUUGUGAAUUGUGCUGCUAUAAACACUGAUGUGGCUGUGUCCCUGUAGUAUGCUGUUUUUAAGUCCUUUGGUAUAGACCAAGGAGAGGGAUAGCUGGGUCAAAUGAUGUUUCCAUUCCCAGUUUUCCAAGGAAUCUCCAUACUGCUUUCCGUGUUGGCUGCACCAAUUUGCAGUCCCACCAGCAAUGUAUGAGUGUGCCUUUUUUUAAAAAAAAUAGUUAAAAAAGAAAUAGAACUUAUUAUUGAGCCAUUGACUUUUGGGAUUAUUUGUCACACAACAAAAGCUAAAUGUAUGUGUAUGCUUCUCCCCAAACUCAUCAACACACACACACACACACACACACCACAAGUGUGUGCAUACACAUGGCAUUGUUUAUUGCUACCUAUUCAAUGACAGUAUGCUUUCCACACUGUAGACAUAUUUGGGUCAAGGGAAAAAGCAAGCAAAUGAACAAGCAAGAAAUGCAAACUAUGUACUUAUUUGCUGUGGCUAUUUACUUCUAGGUAAAAUAAAAUGGCACAGUGCCAUCCUCAGGGUGAAAUGCAGAGGGUAUGGAACACAGGGCAGGCUCCCCUGGUGUCUCCUUUGCUUCUCUAUAUGCCCAUGUUUCCUAGGCUGCUGCUUUACUCUUGCUUUUUUAUCGCAUUAUUAACUUAUAACUCCCAGUUGCUGCAGUUUCUCUGUGUGUGUGUGUGUGUGUGUGUGUGCAUGUGUUUGUCUGAGUUUCUGUGUGUGUGGCUUUUGUUUGUUUUUCAUCCAAAUCUCUUCCCAGGAAGAAAUGAAAAUGUCACUCAAACUCUAGUGAGAGUGUCAGUCAAUGUCAAAGACACAUUGUUCACUUCGUCUUUCCCUCAUUGCUUCAUUUUGUGAACCAGUCUCUUAAAUGCAAUGUGAUAAAGAAGGGGUCAGUCAAAGGGCUCUGCUGCCCAAUCAGGUCAAUCAAAGGCUUCUUUGAAGAGAUAAGUUUAGAUGCCACCAGAGGCAGGACCUCCCUCCUGAGAUCCUGAUCGUGAGUAAUCAUGUGAACUUGUAAGUCUCGCUUCUUCCUAACAGGAGAGAAUCUGCCACAAAAUUAAGGUAUCCCAUAGGAAAGUCGGUGACGGGGAUAAUGCGUUGUGUUUCUGCAUUUGUUAAAGAUGUGACUUGAAACCUUGGAUUCAGUCAUUUCAUGUGUGUGUGAUAUAAUAUAUACAUAUAUUUUGAUAAUAUGAUCAAAUUAUUUUUUUCCUUUCAACAAGCUCAAAAUUUUUUCUCUCCAAGUAAAAAGACCUGCAGUUAAUAUAUAGACACAAAAUUUUCUGGUGUCUUUGUACUGUAUUUAAACCCUUGUCUCUAAUAAUGGGAUGGAAAUGCUAUUUUUCUAUUAAAGGCAUUUCAGCCUUCAAAAUAUCAAAGAUGUUUACAUGGGAGUACAGCAAAAAUUACAUGCAUAAAGUAUGUGAAUGCUUCUUAUAUGUGUGUGUUCCAGCACAGUCCUUUAUGUGCAUUCUUUUAACCUAAGAUUAUUAAGUAUAAGGUGCAAAAUUUAAUGUGUAUGCAUGUGUGUGUGUGUGUGUGUGUACAUAUGUGUUCUGAACAGAUGGAACAAUAGGCUCUAGGAGCUGUCUAAAUCUUUCUUUGAUUCCACAAAGGUAUUGCUGUGUGACAUUAGGCAAAUCACUUGUCUCUUCUGAAUACCUAAUCUUCCCCAUUGCUAAAAUAAAGCUGUUCAUGGUCAUUUGCAGUGCUAUAAAGACAGUCAUUGGGAAACUUCUACCAAGUCAAUAGUAAAUAAUUUCAAAGAAGUUAAAAAGGAACUAACUCUCUAGAAUAUUUACUCAAUAAGCACUGACUAGUGCAAAAAUCAUGAUUAAUCUGGAGAAUGCACACUUGGGCCCAGAAGUAGGACCUGAAGUUCUGCAAGGAAGUGAAUUGAACAAUUCCAGACUCACCGAAGGGCAAGGCUGAGUGUGCAUCUCCAUAUGGAAAUGUAACUGUGGACUUACAGCUGCUGCUGCAUAAAGCCUUUGGAUGCUAAUAGUCUUUGUGGUUUUCUCCCUUUUAUUUCCUUCCUUCCUGUAGGUUGCAGCUUCUAUCCCACCUCCCCCCUAAUGAGCCUGUGGGAGGGUGGAAAGCAGGACUCAGAAUGUUGGCCAUCAAGUGGGAGAGGAACUGUGGAAAGAGGGAAGUGAACUGGAGGAAGCUGACCAAGAUUUUUCUUGAGACAAAAAAUAAAGGCUACCAAGUUGGUGAGAAGGAGAAAGAGCUAUACAUCACCUGAUUAGAACAGGUAAGAGGGUCCUGACCCCGUCUUAGGUAGGCUCCCAAAGAAAAAUGUCUGUUUUUGACAUUUGGGAGAUAAUCUGUGGACAAGGAAGGAGGAAUGCUCUCCCUAAUGUGGGUGGUUCUCAUGUAAUCAGUUGAAGGCCUAACUAGAACCAAAGUUUGACCCUCCUGUGAGUGCGAGGGAACUUCUCCCACAUGACUGCAUUGAGGUGGGUUAUGUAGUUUUUAAUUUUUUUUUAAAUUUUAUUCAUGUAUAUUAAUUGUGUAUAUUAAUGGGUUUUGGUGUGAUGUUUCAAUACAUGUAUAUGAUGUGAAUUGAUUAAAUCCAGCCAUUCUUUAUCCAUUUUCCCUCUCCUUUUCAAUCCCUAGUAAUUCCUACCCUACUUUCAGGUCAACUUUUUUAACUUCCACAUAUAACAGAGAACAUGCAUUGCUUGUCUGUCUGUGUCUAGUUUAAUUCAUUUAAGAUAAUAUGCUGCAGUUCCAUCCAUUACACUGCAAAGGACAAGAUAUACUUUUUUAUGACUGAGUAAUAUUCCAUUGUGUGUAUACACCACUUUUUCUUUAUCAUUCACCUUUGACGGGCACCUAGGUUGAUUCCCUAUCUUGGUCAGUGAAUAUUGUCGUGAUAAAUAUGGGUAUGCAGUUAUCUCUUUGUUAUGCUGAUUUCAUAACCUGUGAAUAUGUACCCAGAAGUGAAAUAGCUGGGUCAUAUGGGAGAUCUGUUGCACUUCAUACUCUUCUCUACACCAGUAGAGUAUAGGGCUCCCUUUCCUCCACAUACUCACCAAUAUCCGUUAUUGCCUUUUUGAUAACAGUCAUUUUGACAGGGGUGAGAUGAUACUUCAUUAUAGUCUUCAUUUUCAUUUUCAUGAUGCUAUUGAGGGCUUUUUAAAAUAAAUAAAUAUAGAUUUAUUAUCCAUUUGUGUUUCUUCUCUGAGAAGUGUCUAUUCAGAUCAUUUGCACACUUUUAAUUGGAUUGCUUGUUGUUUGAUUGGUGAGUUUUUGAAUGCCUCACAUAUUCUACAUGUGAAUUCUUUGUCAGAUGAAUAGUUGUCAAAUAUAUUCUCCCAUCCUAUAAUUUAUUUCUUCACUUCAUUUCAAUAGGGUUUUGUUUUGUUGUGUUUGUUUUUCCUACCUUCAGACUCAAAUUAAAAUAUGAGCUUUUCCUGAAUUUCAAAUCUGCUCUCCUUGCCUGGAACAAGAGCAUCAGCUCUCUGGGGUCUUCACCUUGCCAAUUGCAGGAUCUGACUCUUGUCAGACUCCAUCACCAUGUGACCCAAUCACUUCAUAUGUUGCUUACUGCAUUGGUUCCGUUUCCCUGAACCUGACUAAGGAAGACAUAAAAGACCAUCACAACAGCUGCUUCUCCCUUACUUUCCUCUAAUAUAAAGGAAGAAACUUUAAACUCAUUUAACUUCCAAGGCUUCCUUAUAGUUAGUGGAACCUGAAUGACUCAUUUUUGACCAAUGUGCUGACCAAGUGGAAGGCUUUAGGCAGGACUUCCAAAGAAGUGUUUUAAAAUAAAGGAACUAUGCUGAUGAAAUGCUCUGGCUCUGGCAUGGAAGUCAGCACCCCCAAUGUGACUGUGGGCAUGACAGACACCCACUAAAAAGGGCUGCGUUUGAACAUGGGUGAUGUUUGGCGGUUGGGGGCAUAGAUGAGUUGCCAUAUAAUCCUAUAAUUAACUUCCUUGAGGUUUGUCUUUCCUUGAGGAGAAAUAAAUUAAGUCUUCUUUACAUUUAUUUUGUAUUUUUGAAGCCAAAUUUAUAGUUGACCUAUGUAUGGCAAAAUUUUGAAAAUUUAUACAAUGUAUUUAUCUGGCAGUUGGGGCUUAAUUAAAUUUAAAAUGCUAUAAAGAUUAUCAUCUUCAAAAUUUAUGUUUUCUUCUAAACAUGAAUAGAGAAGCAACUCUAAAUAGAUCUAAAGUCCUUGAUGUGAUGCCUACUAAUGAGAAUCUACAGCUGCUAUAUACAGAUGUUCUUUGUUGUAGAUUUCACUCUCAGUUGGGGCCAAAGUCAUUUUUCAUUCCCAAGCAAUGGGCCUUGAUGUCCUGGGCCUCCAAACGUGGUCCAUCUUUUUUGACAGACAGUGACUCUAGGUCUUUCUGGGUAAGAGGCUGAUCCAAGAGAUCCAGGGUUCAGGUAAAAGACUGGUAUCAGUGACUAUCCAAGGGAUUCCAGGGGAAAGACGAUUGUCUAGACAGCUUGCAGAGAACUUUAUGAGGGGUUGAAUGGAAAGGUGGCCUGCUGAUUUAUAGCAAGGAAUUGAAACUAAAAAUCCAUUAAAAAAAAGUGGUUAUUGUGGUGCUUGAGUCAAACACAAACCACUGAAAUCAUAUUUGAUUAAUAAUUCAAAAAGCAGGUAAUUAGAAGCCUCACUGGUAGUUUAAAAAUGUAGGGUAAGUUUAUAUUUUAAAAAAGGGGGGGUGGGGUGGGCUAGAGAUAUAGCUCAGUUGGUAGAGUGCUUGCCUAGCAUGCACAAGGCCCUGGGUUCAAUCCACAGCACCACAAAAAAAGAAAAGAAAAAACAAAAAGGAAUAGAGAAAUUAGAUAAGGAAUGAAGAGAUUAGGAACUACCCAAUAAUAUCACUUAUAAUGAAUUAAAUUAAUUUAAACCCUUUUUCCCCUUUCCUACUUCCUACUCUACUAAAGUACCAAACCCUGCAAGAGAGGUCACUCUUUCCCAAGUCAAGUUUAAGUCAAACUUCUCCCAUGGCCCAACAAGUUUAGUGAAAAGAUGGACUAUGGAAAUCCAAUUUUACAGAGGCUCCGAGGAACCAAAUCAGCUUCCUUUUGAGAGGACUGAGCUUCCUGACCAGCAAAUUCAACAAGCCUGCACACCAAGCCAGGGACCAACAAAGAAGGAGAUCUGAGUGCUGUGAAAGGCUAGAGCGUAGGAAGUUCAUGGAGUUACUGCAGUUCAUAUGAGCUGCAGUAAACAUCCGUGUACAUGCUUCCUUAGCAAGUGACUAACAUUUUCUCUAGUGUACCUGCCAAGAAGUAGAAUUGCUGAAUUAUACAGUAAAUGUGUUUAAAAUCUAAAUUAUCCCUGUUGGACCACCCCCACUACGGCCAAGCUAUACCCCAAGAGCUGGUAGAGUUCCAUCUGUUUCUACUCAUUCUUGCCAAGAGCUGGUCCUACAAGGCUGUGUACUUUUUGCCAAUAAAUGCCUUAAAAUCUUUUAAGGGUCACUGAAUCCAGACAGGCAGAGAUUUGUCUACAUGAAAGACUGAGCAUGGUAGACUAUUAUUACAGGGCAAUACACUGCUGUGGUGCUGAGGCAGCUGAAGAGGCCUCUUCAAACCCUGAUCAUAUGAUCAUGCCACAGAGAUGUCAGUCAUGUCAAUCAGAGUAACAGACAUGAGUUUAUUAGAAGGGAUAGGAAAGAGGGAAAGGCGACAUUCAAGGGAGAGAGUGGGUCUUCUCAUAGGGGAGAGGGACAGUGCAGCCCUCCUGCCCUCCAGUUUUAUUAGGAGUCUCAGGGAUGUUUCCAAAGAGCCCUGCCCAGGUCAUCUUUUGGCUUUUGACUGAUAGCAUGGGAACUGCAAUGUCUACCUCGGAGAGGAGGGUGUGGUGCUCACAGAGCUGACAUUUAGGAAACUGAGUUCCCUGUUUGUGCCUCCUCCUCAACAAAGUUUUCUUGGGAGGGUCUCGAUGAUUUGAUUGCCAGGGUCGGUGAUUAUGGUUUGUGAUGGGUGUUGGUAAGGGAGGAUCUGGGUCACCUAGUAAGGUGUAAAAUGAUCUUAAAACAACAGUUUUUUUUUUUUUUAAAGGGGGUGUAAUUAUGACCAGGGGAGGUUCUAACAGUCUAGCUUCUCAUCUCCCAGGUGCUUAUCUUUCAGAUGGGGCUCCUGUGCUUUUUAGCCCAGCCUCCUUGUCCUUGUCCUGCUCACACAUCCCUGGCUGACCAACCACUUCACAAGAUGAGAGGAAGAAGGCAGUGAGAGGAGCUACCAUCCUCAGACUCGCAUUGCCUGAGGGAGGGAAGGACAAAUACUAACUCUCCCACAGUCACGGAGUCGACCAAAGCACAUUGUAUGAUGGUCCAUUUCCAUCUUGGUUUGAUCUGUUCCUAGAGAAGGUAUUUAUCUACCUCUUGAUCCAUCCAUUUCUCCUGAAGUGUGCCUGUAAAUGCUCACUCUCCUAGGGGCUGUAAGGAAAGAAAGAGGAAGCAGGAAACGUCUAAUUUCAAGAAGUUCCUUAGUCACGGAGAUUAUAGCUCAGCAGUCCUCAAACUUAAAGAUGCAUUUUUUUUUGUUUGAUCAGCAAAAUGUUUCAAGUUUUUAAAAAU